rnacentral:rRNA from 1 species
UGGUGGAGCGAUUUGUCUGGUUAAUUCCGAUAACGAACGAGACUCUAGCCUAUUAAAUAGUUCGCCGAUUUUUCGAGUCGGCGUCAACUUCUUAGAGGGACAAGAGUCGUAUAGGCACGCGAGAUUGAGCAAUAACA